rnacentral:rRNA from 1 species
UGGCGAACGGGUGAGUAACACGUGAGCAACCUACCCUUCACUCUGGGAUAACUCCGGGAAACCGGUGCUAAUACCGGAUACGAGUGCCGACCUCAUGGUCUGGUGCUGGAAAGACUUUUGGUGAGGGAUGGGCUCGCGGCCUAUCAGCUUGUUGGUGAGGUAAUGGCUCACCAAGGCGACGACGGGUAGCCGGCCUGAGAGGGCGAUCGGCCACACUGGGACUGAGACACGGCCCAGACUCCUACGGGAGGCAGCAGUGGGGAAUAUUGCACAAUGGGCGCAAGCCUGAUGCAGCAACGCCGCGUGAGGGACGAAGGCCUUCGGGUUGUAAACCUCUUUUAGUAGGGAAGAAGCGACUGGGUUUUCCUGGGAGUGACGGUACCUGCAGAAAAAGCACCGGCUAACUACGUGCCAGCAGCCGCGGUAAUACGUAGGGUGCAAGCGUUGUCCGGAAUUAUUGGGCGUAAAGAGCUCGUAGGCGGUUUGUCGCGUCUGCUGUGAAAACCCGAGGCUCAACCUCGGGCCUGCAGUGGGUAC